rnacentral:tRNA from 1 species
GCCGAUUAGCUCAGUGGUUUGAGCGCGGUGCUGGCAACAAUGACAACACCAAGGUUGCAGGUUCGAUUCCUGCUCGGUC